rnacentral:rRNA from 1 species
AUUGAACGCUGGCGGCAGGCCUAACACAUGCAAGUCGAACGAGUGGCGGACGGGUGAGUAAUGUCUGGGAAACUGCCUGAUGGAGGGGGAUAACUACUGUAAACGGUAGCUAAUACCGCAUACAAUCGGAUGUGCCCAGAUGGGAUUAGGUAGUAGGGUGGGUAACGGCUCACAUAGGCGACGAUCCCUAGCUGGCCUGAGAGGAUGACCGGCCACACUGGAACUGAGACACGGUCCAGACUCCUACGGGAGGCAGCAGUGGGGAAUAUUUCCCAAUGGGCGCAAGCCUGAUGCAGCCACGCCGCGUGUGUGAAGAAGGCCUUCGGGUUGUAAAGUACUUUCAGCGGGGAAGCGUUACCCGCACAGAAAGCACCGGCUAACUCCGUGCCAGCAGCCGCGGUAAUUC